CAUGGCUUGUUAGCUCAUUUCUUGUUAGCACUGAAUAAUAUAUCAUUGUCUAGGUAUACCACAGUUUAUCCAUUCACCUAUUGAAGGACAUACCAAAUCUCGAUUCCAAGUUUUGGCAAUUACGUAUAAAGCUGUCACACGUGUUGGUCUUCUUUGUGUGGACCUAAGUCUUCAAUUUGGAAAAUACUAAGGAGGCCAAUUGCUGGGUCAUAUGUUUCUGGGGAGAAGUUGCAUGGUUUCUAAGAAGAAGUUGAAUCUUUUCAUUUAUAUAGGAAGGAGGAGGCCGAGCCCUCUUGCCACCAGAGAAGAUCAAUCAGGAUCCCUCUAAGGAAGGGACAGCCACAUAUCCUAGCCUGCCAAUGACACAGGAUGAAUUUCAAAGGAACAGAUAUGGCAAGUCACCAACAAAUAGAUCCAUAUGUUGUUGUUGUUUUACAGUGAAAAUGGCUUAUUUUUUUAAUU
ensembl:lncRNA